AUGAACGCUUGCGGCGUGCCUCAUACAUGCCAGUCGCGCGAACAGACGAGGAGCUUGCUCCUCUGACGUUAGCGGCGGACGGGUGAGUAACACGUGGAUAACCUACCUAUAAGACUGGGAUAACUUCGGGAAACCGGAGCUAAUACCGGAUAAUAUAUUGAACCGCAUGGUUCAAUAGUGAAAGACGGUUUUGCUGGCACUUAUAGAUGGAUCCGCGCCGCAUUAGCUAGUUGGUAAGGUAACGGCUUACCAAGGGAACGAUGCGUAGCCGACCUGAGUGGGUGAUCGGCCACACUGGAGCUGAGCCACGGUCCAGACUCCUACGGGAGGCAGCAGUAGGGAAUCUUCCGCAAUGGGCGAAAGCCUGACGGAGCAACGCCGCGUGAGUGAUGAAGGUCUUCGGAUCGUAAAACUCUGUUAUUAGGGAAGAACAAAUGUGUAAGUAACUAUGCACGUCUUGACGGUACCUAAUCAGAAAGCCACGGCUAACUACGUG
rnacentral:rRNA from 1 species